AUGGGUUUAUCCUUGGUUUUCCCUUCUGUUUCUAAGCCUCUCUUACCUUCGACUUUCGUAGCCUUCUUCACUAUCUAUUUGCUCAAUAUUUGUUUACUUCUUCUUUUUCAACCCUCACUUGUAUAAUCUCUUCAGUCUAAUUCCAUUUGAUCUUUUUCUUAUGGCGGACACCACGAAAGGGCCGACUCAUCCCUUCACCAUUAAGCUGGAAGAAGGCAUGGAUGAAAGUGUUGACAACUCAAAUCUAUGUCUGAUUGAAAAGAUUAUGGUCCCAAAACUUCUCAACAAGCAAACGGUCUCUCGUAUUAUUCUUGGCACUUGGAAAACUAGAGCUGAGGUCUAUGGUCUUCCCAUGGAUAAAAUGACGAGACACAAUCGACAUAUAAUUGGGAAUCGAUUGGAAAACUCAUCGGGAUUGAAGCUCCAAAUGAUGGUUUUAUACUCUCUCGUAGUUUUCUCAUAAUUCGGGUGGAGCUCAGAAAACAAACACAAAAAUUCGAUUCUGGAACACCCAGAACCGCACGUGCGGCGGGCAGGCUCACACAUACGGACAACAAGAGAGGUGCUGGGAGCAUUCUGCAUAGAAAGCACCUUGUGGCACACGUGCAGCACAUGUGCAGAGAGAGUCCUGCUCAUGCGGCUGUUUGGUAGCGUCGGUUUCACUUUUCUGCUUCGUUUACCCUACUCCCAGGCCUCCGUUAGUGUGAUUUGCAUCCGUAAUUGACGUCCAUUUACACUGCAUGGGCAUUAAAUGAAAGUAAAAGACAUUUAGAGCAAUCAAUUCCUAAGUAGUAAAACUAAUUAGCUGGUUAUAUGGCGAAUUAAGUGUGCUACGCUUAUAUCUGUCUAUGUAGGUCAAACGCCACGUUCCAGUCACCUGCAUCACGGAGCCAACUGUGAGUAACACUGUUAUAAAGAUAUGUUUAAUUUAAAGUACCUUUUUCCUACUGUAAAAUUAUGCUUUGUUCUGAUAUGUUUUCUUAUAUUUAUGAAUGAUGAUUCUAAUUUUGCUUACACUGUUUAUCCUGGCAUCCUUAGCAUCUGUGCACAUGAUUACAAAGAUCUCUGUCAAUUCCAAUUCAUGGGACUCCUGUUUACCAUAGUGAUGGCCAUCAUAUCUGAUCUUCGAUCUUUAUGACCGCCUGUUUGGUCUUCUAGACCGCUUGUACUUAUUGCUUAUGGAUUACCACGUAUUAUAUUAUGCUUUCUAUAUGUAAUAAGAACCUGCUCAGUGUGUAAUUUGCUUUAUAUUAUGAUCAUCAUUUAGAACCCCUUUAUGCAGCUGUUAUUCAUUGGGCUCUAGCUCAUAUUUUGAUAUAUU